CCUACGGGAGGCAGCAGUGGGGAAUAUUGGACAAUGGGCGAAAGCCUGAUCCAGCAAUGCCGCGUGAGUGAUGAAGGCCUUAGGGUUGUAAAGCUCUUUUACCAGGGAUGAUAAUGACAGUACCUGGAGAAUAAGCUCCGGCUAACUCCGUGCCAGCAGCCGCGGGUAAU
rnacentral:rRNA from 1 species